rnacentral:RNase_P_RNA from 1 species
CCAGGGGGCCGGGCAACCGCGUGGGAACUUUAUGGUCCUUCGAGGAAAGUCCGGGCUCCACGAAACAAGGGUGGCGGGUAACGCCCGCCGACCUCCGCAAGGGGGUUAGGGAAAGUGCCACAGAGAGCAAACCGCCAAAGGGGCCUUCGGGUCUCAUGGUAAGGGUGAAAGGGUGCGGUAAGAGCGCACCGCGCAACCGGCAACGGAAGCGGCAUGGUAAACCCCACCCGGAGCAAAACCGAAUAGGGGCGCCGCGCCAGCGCAAGCUGGCAGGUCUGUUUCGGACCGAGGACGCCCGGGUUGGUUGCUUGAGCGCACGCAGCAAUGCGUCGCCGAGAUGAAUGGUUGCCCUUUGCGGUCGCGUCCUUUCAGGAUACGGGCCGCUCUGACAGAACCCGGCUUACAGGCCCUCUGGCGUA